CCUCACUUGUUUACUUCUUUUAGAGACCCACUUAACAUCUACACGGCUGCAGCGAUAUCUUUGCCUGGACUUGACUUUGGAUCAACUGGUAGGUUCCCACCUGAGGAUUUCAGGCUGCCGGCUGGCUCACAGGGAGUCAACAACUCCAAUAUGCAGCUCAAAGCUAGACCUGUGAGAGCUUCAGCACUCAAUCAUUGACAUUUCCUGAACUUAAUUAAUUAGAGAAGUGUAAACAGAUACUUGGUCUAAAAUAAGCAGGAAAUACCCAUCUGGAUAUGGUGAAUGUGGGCUGGUGAGGAUGUGGUUUUAUUUAUAUUACCCAAACAUGCUGCUGUAAGUGUGCACCAUAUUUAGACUUUUUUUUCUAACAUGCGUGCACUACAUGUAUGCUGCAUCCUCCGCCUGCAGAGCAAUGACAAAAACAGACAAGGAUUUUUGCAGGCAUAGAUAUUUUCAUUCUCAGAAUGGUUGGACAUGACAUAGGAGUGAGGUACAUUGUUUAUGUCUUUGCAUUAAUGUUGAAGAAAGAUUUAUUUAUGCUCUGAGUGGGGAACAUCAGACCGGUUUAACCAGAAUUACAGCCCCGCAGUUGUGUGCCUCCAAGCAGUCACGUUUCAGUUUAUAUCCCACCAUGUGUUUCCCUCUGACUGACAGCAUAACUAGCGGGGAUUGGGGAUAUUGAGUAUUUGCAUAUUGGAAAUAUUUGAGAAAUGCCAUCUCUGUACGUAAACCCACAUUAUCCAUGAGCGGUUAUAUCAUGAUCUGUCUGUGUUUUUCUCAGAGAAAAAGUAUGAGACUGUCAGUAUAGCAAAAGCAGAAUGAACAGGUUUGCUACGGUUAGAGUGAGAGAGUUUGCAGGAUUGUCCUAAAAUCCAGUAAAUAUGAAAUGUUGCUUCCAGGCAUUACUGAAGCGAGAAGCGAGAAUGAAGAUAGGAUGGACACGGAUCACCUAAACUUUAACACCUAAAUUGAAUGACUUUAUCUUUGGAUUCGGAAGGACAUUAUGUCAAAUUUGUGGGUAUUCCCUGCAGGUAUUGUUGUGUUAUUGUGUUUACGAGACUGAGAUGGGAGAAAUGAGCAGAAAGGACUUUUUUUGAGGGAACUGUUGUUGUCAUUUCAGAUGAAACAUGUCAUCACUUCAUGAUUCUACCCUAAAAUAUUGGUGUUUUGUUUGAUAUCAGACAAAAUUUACUCUUUUCCUUCCAAUGAUAUUGUUGUGAGGCCGUAGAGUCCUCACUCACCAACUAUUGUUAAGACUAAAGGAAGGUGCACAUUCCUCGAGCACCUAAGCAAUGUUGGUUUGAAGUAUAUAUUAAAUGCAUAUGAUGUUUACAUUUCACUCUAAAUAUGUAGUCUUUUUUUUCCCUUUGGGGAAUUCUGUUUUCCCUUUUGUUAUUGUUGCAGCUUCUCUCACUUGGAUUGUCUGCAGGUGAGAGUGGCCAAACCUGAAUUCUGUGAGGCUGUGAUUAAAGCUGCAGGUAGCAGAGCAUAUGAGCUGAGUGAAAUCAGCAGAUGUGUGGCAUAUGAGAUGUGAGGCUGUGAAGAGAGCCAGUUUGUUGGACUUUUGUUGGACUAAUGUUUCAUUUUUUCUUCCUCUGCAGGGGAUAUUUUUGCAAAGUAUAUAACUGAUUUGACAUUUUUUGUCUUAUUUUGAUGUGGCUUAAUAAAUGUUCUCCUCAUUUUUGAGAAUUCACAUCUUGUUUGAGAUUUGAUGACAGAUAUCUUGUUUAAAAGACAGAGGUCUGACCUCUUGCAGAAAGUCCAGUCAGGAAGUCUAAAUUUUGCACGCACGGCCUGUUUAUUUCUUGUUGCAUUCUGCUGUUUGGCUUCAUUACAUCUAUUUUUUUUGUUUUGAUUUUUCCUCUUUUUACAUUUCAUUCAUGCUUUUAUAAUGUUCCCUCAGCUCUAGAUGACACCAUCGCCCACCACCUCUACCUCGGGGUGAAAACAAUACCAUUAGCACAUCUCUCUGCAGAGUCAAAGUGCUAAAGACUGUCUGACACGUCUUAAUUGCCUCAUCAUGUGUAACAUUUAAUGCUAUAAUUGCUUCAUUCACGACCACUCAAGUUGUGACACUGUGUAAAAUGAUGAUAAAAGAGAUUUCGAAGGUUUGCACAGCAUUUACAGCAUUUAUAAUUGAUAAAAAAAAGCAAAGACAACAUAUUUUGUUGCACGGGUUUUACAAUAUUCCUUUUGAGUUUGAUACCAGCAACAUUUUUAUAACACUUAUAACAGGAUCAUGUUUUCUUUAGCGUGUCAUUAGCUCUGUAAAUGUUUGUGAACCGAGGAGACCAGUUUCUGUAGCCUGGCUGGGCCAACCAGUUGUGUGAAUCACUUGCCGUUCCUUCCCACAACAGUCUGGACUUUUGGGAGCCCUAAAAGUGGGCGGGAGUACUUUCCUUGAUAGACAGACUACUGUAACCAAUCACCGUAACCAAGCAUCUGACGUCAUCACAGUGCGCAACUGUGUUCCCUGCUGGGCUCUCAAGCAUCAAGUAAAGGUUUGAUAAUAUUUCAACGUGUGCGAGCAAACAAUGUCUUUUACGUCUUCUUCUGCGGAUAUAAAUGAUUUCUGCCGACUUUGCAAAGUCAACUGCAGAAUUAACGGCGUUCUGAAUGAACAGCGCUCUGAAUGAACAGCGCUUUGAAAAGUCCCGCAGCAUGUGUUAGACAUCUCCAUCUACACAUGGACCAAUCAGGGGCUGCCUUUCCCUGUUGUCCGGAGAACAGUGGAAACACAGUCUCUGAUUGGCCCGAUUAUUUUCUGAUUUCUAAUACUUGCUCCCAAUUGGCCGAAGUCCAGACUGUUGUGGGAAGGAAUGGCAAGUGAUUCACACAACUGGAUGGCCCAGCCAGGCUAGAAUUUCUGGGGUCUGCUCAACAGUUUAGGGUCUCCUUUGUUGUGAUUUUGUGUCAUGAUGCAAACUCUUUGACCUUUUAUAUUCAGGAACAUUAUUCAGGAUUGCUGAACUUUCUUCUUUUCCUCUGAGAAACCCAGUCAUGUUGCUAACCUGUUACAAAUAAACCUCAGGGAGAUGUUCCUUCAGAAGUUCUUAACUAUUGCACAACUGUUUCACCUGUUUUGAACUUUUUUGAAACUUUUUUUUGUUGUUGUUGCUGCAACAGGUCUCAGUUCCAGCUAAAAGAGAGUUGUGAAAGACAAGUGGAAGAAGACAUUAAGCAUGCAAAGCUAAGUUUAAUCUCACUAACAGCUUGUUUUGGUUCUGUGAGAGAUAACACUUGAUUAGGGAGUGUGCUUCACCUUGUGUUGUUGCCAUACCAACCUGACCGCUGUGACAAAAAGAGACAGAGCAGUGUAUUUAGCUGAGCCAAUCUUUUCCAUCCAAUUUAAAGCGUCCCACUGGGUUUUCUCAGUAAGCACUGCCGGUGCAAUUCUGCUCCUCUGUGUAAUUUCCCUGAGACCUGUGUGAGCUAUGUGGAGGCUUGAUGGGCUGUGGUGGGAGGAAGCUAUAGAGCAAUGAAUUAACUUGCAGCCACCCAGGGGGAUCCUUUGUGCUCCUGUCUCCAAGGACACCUGACUUAGACUUGGCGAACAAACAGCCAUCUCACACAAUAAUGGGAAAUAAAUAAUGUUCACAGGGAAGAGAGAACAAGGUUUCCCUUUGGGGACACGGGACACAAAGAGAGGAAAAUGAAUGGCAGCUUUGUGUUUUGUUUUGGACGUAUUAAACCCCUGGACUUAAACAAUAAGUCACUCUAUCAGAAAAGUGACACAGAGUGGUUUUAUAUUCAGUAAUGACUAUUUGUUUUCCACAAGGAGACUUAAUGGAAAAACUUUAGGCAAUUCACAUCUGACAGCUUAAGCUGGAAAUACCUCAUAUCAUCUAAAUGAAUCCUGUUUAUUUCUGUCCGCUUCUGCUUUGGGACAUGAUGGCUGGACUCUGGGGUAAAGCAGGUUGUCUGUUAAUGACUAAUACCUUUAGAUCCUCUGAACCUACAGUGACCACACUAAAGGCAUUCACAUGCAGGUCAAGCAAGCAAUGGUUAUUGCAUUCGUAUGUGGAAUGCCAUAGCCUAAGGCAGGGAGCGCACAACUCCGGUUCAUGAGCAUAUAUGAAAAGCCAUGGCAGGGAGAGCAGCAGCAAAGACUCCAACGCUCUGUUUCGAGAGCUUCCUGCUAUUCUGUGUGUGUAUGGCAUGCCAAAGCCUAACGCCCAAUUUCCACCGUAUCCGGAACAGCAGCGAUUUUUGCCGUCCGCCAAUUCCUACCAGAUCUAUUUAUGAGGUGAAUUUUGUGGCGGAUUACGGACAGAGGAAAUCGCGAGAACUCACAAGAACCCGCGAAUCGCGCAAUAACGGGUUGUCUUUAAUAAGAUAACCAUAUAUUAUACAUAACCAUAUAAGCAGUAGAUUGUGUCCUUCUAGAGGAAGAAAUCCACUUUCAGCACGGGCUCAUCUGUGCUGAAUUUAUCAUUCAUGCUCUGGCGUCUGCAAAAAAUAGAACUGUUGCGAUCAGCUGUGGAGUCCGGCGAUCCACAGUGGAAUGGAAAGAAGCUGAUGGAAAUUGACACAUUAACUUGAAAGGUUACCAUCAGCCGCGGUUGGCCGAUACAGCCAUUUCAUAUCCGUACUGGAUGCGGGGGAAAUUGGGGGUAAGGCAAAGAAAGUACACUAUCUCUAUGUUUCAUGUGAGUAGUGAAAGCAGGGGGAGCAUCAGCAAAGAUAGAACAGCGUUGGUGACAAUCAAUGUGACACUGGCAAAUGAGGAGCCGGGAUGGAGGCAGGUUUUUGGAGGAAGCAGGUGGGCUGAAACGGUUUAAAUAGAACAAGCAGAAAUGUGAUAGUCAGGAUCAUCUGCUACUCAGUAGGUGGAGCUUGACCUCGUGGCCUGCCUGAACCGAUGCCACGCUUCUUCUUUUCUUUGCUACAAUGCUAAUUGCUGCUUGUGUACAAGCUCAUUAUCUGUAACCCUUCAAACCCCUGACACACACACAAACACAUUAGCGCACACACACGUCUGUUUGGCCCAUGCUAAUGUGCCACAUGCUGGUCAGGCUAAGAGGGGGCUGAGGGACAGAUCUUCUGUCCCUUUUUUUUCCCACUCCAUGUUUGACCUCAAAUUUGUUCUGGUCCGCCAUAAUUCAGGGUCUCCAACUCUCUUCUUUCUGCAGAUUAUUGCUCCCAAAAUAGGGAAUAAAAGGGGGACUCGAGGGGAGGGACAGGGCAACCAUCUUGAAAGUCCUUGACCGUGAUUAAUCUACUUCUCCAUUUGGGAGUUUAUUAUAGUUUGGAUGCUCUGUUGGUUUUAUUUCAGUCUUUUACUAACUCAAAAAUAAAAUUAAAAACUGGACAUUUUUUCUCAUUAUUAGAAGGAAUUUCAUUUUUAAUAGUAAAUAAAGGAAGAUUUUAGACUGCUGAGAGAAGAAGAAGAAACUAAUUUUUUUUAGUGUCUCUACACAAAAUGUCAGAACUGAUCGGCUUUUGUCUGAUCGUUUGGCCUCUUGCAGUGACGGCCAAUACUUACAGGAUUCCAGUGGAGUCAGCUUAUAUCUGGAUAUUGGAUCAUUAGUAUUCAGGCCAGGACUACCUUUAUCUUGCCGUGUGAUUGUUUGCAGUCCACGCCAGAAAUGAGUGCGUGCAGCUGGAUUGGCAGAGACACUGAUUUUGCAAAAAAGAGCUGAAUGAAAAGCUGAAGUUUAUGGAUGAUAACUAAUAGCUUCCAGAUCACAAUUUUGGCUGCUUUCUUUUGGCAUUUUUCAUACUUUUUUUUCAUUUUCCAAAAGGACUAUUUUCUGCGCAAAAUCAGAUGCCAGCUCAAACAUUAUUAGUCAAUAUUAGCCGCACAGCAAACAGGAAAACAGACGCUGUAAAUCCCCCCCAAAUCUCCUCAGAAUUUGCAGAUUUCUGCUCGUAGAGAUGAUUGCAACUUUGAGUGCGAACAGGUGCAUCAGAAGAAAAGUGGCUCUUGAAUACAAAUGAGAAAACAUCCACAUACCGCCUCACUUUGUGCUUGGAUGUGAAUUUAGAUAAGAUGGUUUCGGUGUGUUUUCACCUUAUCACAUGUGCAGAAAUACAACCAGUGAGGAAGAGAGAGAGAGGAGCUUUCUAAGAAUUUUAUCAGGCAUAAUGUGGCAUCAAAUCAUAGAGUCAUUGAUAUUGUGAUGUUUUAUUACAAUUACAAUGUCAUUUAGCAGACGCUUUUAUCCAAAGUGAUGUACAUACGAAGCAUACACCAGUGGAGGACACACACUGGGAGCAAGGUAGGAUAAGUGUCUUGCCCACGAACACAACAGACAGACAAAUGAUAGGGUGGAAUCGAACUGCCAACCUUCCAGUUAUUGGAUGACCACUCUACCUCCUGAGCUACUGCCACCAAAAAAAUCCUCUUUUAGAUUGAGUUAUUGAUUGUGAGCGAGUCCAAACAUGUCAACAAAUGACAACAGUAUUAAAGAAGACUUAUAAUUAAGUUUACCUUUUAAUAUUUUAGUCUUGGACAUCUAUAGAGUUUCUUAGCAUGACUUGUAGUUUUAAAACCGUAUUAGCGUCUGUAAAAACCCUAAUGUCAGCACUUUUUGGACAAGGCCUGAAAUGCUUCAUUUUGGCUGAUUUCACACUAAUAGAAAGUUAGACACAGCUUGGGGAGCUACUUUGUACACAGCUUUGUAGUCACAUAAAAAAAAAAAAAAACACCUGAGGCCCUUAGCAUCCACCUUACAGGCAAUUUCCACCGCAUCCGGAACAGCUAUGAAAAGGUUGUAUCUGCUGAUCGUAAUAUGUCAAUUUCCACCGGCUUCUUUCCAUUUCGCUGCGGAUCUAGAAGUAGAUUUCCUCCUCUGGAAAGAAACGAUCUCCUGCUUAUAUGGUUUGCCUAUGUGGCUAAAGACAACUUGUUAUCGCGGGUUCUUGUGAGUCCUCGCAAUUCCUGCUGUCCUCACAAACGGAUCCGGUAGAAAUUGGCACACGGCGAAAAUCCGACCCGUUCUGGAUGUGGUGGAAAUCCCAGGUUACUCUGCAUUACAUAUAAACUAUUGUUAGGUUAGCAGACUGUAUAUACUCACAGUUUAUUGGUGUUACUUUUUACACAGUCUUGAAGCAUGAAAUGACCAGAAAAAUCAUGCUUUCACAAAAAAUGUUUUAGACCAGCAGUUGAUGCCAAAUUAACUCCACUUUACAUGUAAGCUGUUCUUACAUUAGCUGCUGCUAUUAUAUUACCUACAGCCUGAGGGUGUUACUUUUUACACAGCUCUAUUACACUAUAUGAAGCUUGAUUUGGCCACAUGCAUUUGUAAACGGAUGUUAGCACAUGCAUUGGAGAUGAGUAUGAGAACACAGUCCGGGAGUUAAUCAAAGUGUUGAGAGUGAGGCGUGUCUUGAUGGAGUGGGGGCUUUAAAAGAGUGAGAGGUGGAUGCUGCUGCUGCUGCUGCUGCUGCUGCUGUUGGCUCUGAUGUCUGUGCUGCACUGACAGCCAGAGCUUACACUGCAAAAACCCACAGAGCUGCUGACUCCCCGCUCUGACACACUGACCUCCUGAGAGAGAGAGCGAGAGAGAGAGAGAGAGGUGGGAGUGGUGGGGGUCUAUGGACUUGUCAUGUUUCUGUGUCAUUAAAGUCUAUUAAAGGUUGCUCUGCUGUAUGGGGUCAGCAUGUCGUAUGACUGUGACUGCAGUUUAUUAUCAUGGCAGAGGAAAAAAGAGAGGAGGGGAUAUUACUUUAUUUUGGAUUUAAAAAGAGUCAAACUUCAAUCUAAAUAAAUAAAUAAAUAAAAAGAUGAUUUUAUUUUCUCAUAUGGGAAUGAGAAUGAAAUUUAAAUGUCAAGGAUUAAGAUGAAAUGCUGAAAAUGCAGCAAAAUGUCAUGAGUAAAAGUUUUACUUUAAGUAUUUCUGGGAUCACAGUAAGAAUUCUAGUUGGUGUUGCUGAAUCGUUUUCAUCCAAUUAACAUAAACUUUCUUAUAGACCAAUCAGUACGUUUACAUGACACUUGAGAAAACCGGAUUAUUACCUUAUUCCGAUUAAGACCGGACAACUGAAGUGCAUGUCAACACCUCAGCAUGUAAACACCUCACUCAAUCGGAGUUCUCAAACUCCAAUUGGAGUCGGAGAACUCUGAUUAGGACACCCAGAUAAUGCGAUUGGAAUUUGAUUUUCUCUACCAUGUAACCAGCGUAGUCGGAGUAUGAUCAGAUAAUGCAUGUACGUGUGUGCCACGCCCCUGUAACUCUGGAACAAAAACACCAGAGAAGAGGAGUAGCGUGCAUCUCAUCUGCAAAAAAGUAGCAUGUACAUCUUCUUGCCCGAAAAUGCCCAGCAGCAGUUGUAGCCACUUUUGGCCUAGUGUUGUUGUCGGAAACAGCGCCGCUGAAAAAGACCCAUAUCGCCCCCUAGUUUUGGGGAGGAGUACACGUUCACAUCAAUAAUUAAAUUUUCUCAGCUGCAUGUAUAUGCGGACAACUCUGAUUCGGUGAAAAAACAAAUAAUUUUUUUGUGAUUUUUCUCUUCAAUACACAUCAAACAUACAGACCUGUUACUCAGAAUAACUAUUUCUAUUCCCACUCUGACAUUACACCAACGUCCUUGACCCUAACCUUCAAAUUCAAAAGGUUAAUCUGCUGCUGAUAUAGUAAAGAUGGUGGAUUACUCCUGGAGAGCCGCCAUGUUUUUGAAUCAACAAGUAAAAUCUGACAGAUGUCUUGACUGUCAGAGUGAGACCACGCUGAGUGUUAAUGUGCUGCUGGUUAGAGAGUGUGAAAAAACAAACCUGCUGUGAGACUCGGCUCUGCUGUCGCUCUGGAGCAGUUUGAAAUUUGAUUUCCCUGCAAACCAAAAGAGGUGAAACUAAACAAACAGCAUAUCUCAAAAGAUAGACAGUCGAGGAGUAUCAUCCAAGUAACGGGAAAUGUUUGAGUCGGGCUUUGAGUCAGGGUCCUGCUCACCUUGUUGCGAUAACUUAAGUUUGUGGGCUGAAAACCAGCAAUACCAAAAUCUGUGUUUAUUUUCAGAGAAUUAAAAGGAAGCUGAGGUUUUGAUUGUGAAAGAGGAAGAAACGCUGCAAGGGAAUUGUUUGUUUUUCCACUGUUUACUCUGAAUAACCCUGCUUGUAUUAAAAAUGGGCCACAGUCCCCCCGGUCAGCCUGAGAUUCACCCCCAAACAAGUCAGGAGGUUCCUUUUGGCAGCGAGAAAAAAGACUUCCUGCUGAGAAGAGUCAUUACACAAACCAUAAAAAUCAUUAUCAGGCCCUAAAAAUCAUGCUCUUUACGCAGUAAUAAUUUAAGGAAUCUUGAGACUUCCAUUAAAAGUGAAAUGCUCCCAUUGUGGUGAGGAGUGUCCUGAAGGUCUGGCCCACAUUCCAGAUCUGGAUCAGUCAGAGGGUGGUGGGAGAAGCCCUGAGGGGGCCGGUUGAGGCUGAGGACAGUGCGUGAGAUCUCACCCCGUACCCAGCUCCCAAACCUUUCCCCUCAUCUGCAGACAAAGAGCAGAUCUGAUGUGAAACAAAGAGCAGAUCUGAUAGAACACAGACUCACAGUACUGACACAAAUACAACUUAACUCUAUUACAGCGAGCAUCGUCAUUUGGGCCGCGGGGGCAUCAGGGGUCUUUGAGGAGAUCCUAGGAGUUCAGGGAGAGUUUAACUCAGUUGUUAUUGAAAAAGCAGAGUGAUACCACAAACAGUACCUUCUCCUAAUGGUCUAAAACUGGGAGUUUGUUUUCACAGUUUCUGUAUUUGACAUUAAUUUUCAAUAGAUGACAUUAACCUUAAAUAACUUUGUGUUUUAAGAGUACCUGGCAGCAGAGACAGUGGGGAGUUGAGAGUUUAUCUCUGCUUUAAUUUCAUGUUGUCGUGACCUCACCCGCGAAAUUUAAUCUCCUUCAUGCCAUUUUCACAAACCUUUCAAGUUAGUAGACUUUUAAAGUUGAAUAUGGGUUCCAGUUUGGAUAUUUGAUCAAGACCUGUGUGAUUACAGAUGGUACAAGAUAGCUAAUAUCAAGUUUCUAUACCAAAUCUUUCGUCACUGCUUUGAGUGUGAAAUUAUGUUGACUACUGCAGAGAUCUGAUGUUCCCUUUAAAGGGAUAUUCCAGCGUAAAACUAAUAUAGGGUCAAACAAACCGUAACACUGAGGUAGACACCCCGUCGAGAGAUUAAUGUUGCCGACCACUUGCUUCUCUAGUUAUACCAACUUCAGUAAUGACCACACGAUAGCAAUACACAGCAGUCUGAGGAGCCAUAAACAAACCUCAACCAAAACGCCACAAAUAAUGCUCAGAACAGCGCCUAACUUCAUCAACAGUACAUAUAGGGUCCUAGCCAUAGUACUAGCCACCAAAUUUCUUUAGCAAAGAGACUAAACACUACUCACCCACUCUCUUCCAGCAGCCGCUUGUUUGUAGUAAGACCUUUGGACAGUCCAUUACGUACUACAGCGGGGUGACGCCGCUCAAGGAAGAACAUUUAUGAUCUUUUUUUAAUAAGAAUGCUAUCAGACCGAGACACUAAGGCAGAAGAACUAACGUGUCUGCAGUGCAAAAUGAUUAAUAUGGUGAUUUUUACUUCAAGGAAAUGAUAAACAAAUGAUAAUAUAUGUUCUUCCUUGAGCUGCGUCACCCUGCUGUAGUCCAUAAUGGACUGGCCCGAGGUCUCACUACAAACAAGCGACCGCUGGAAGAGAGUGGGUGAGUUGUGUUUAGUCUCUUUGCCAAAGAAAUCAGGCAAAGCUAAAAAGAUGUUUGGUGGCUAGUACUAUGGCUGGGACCCUAUAUGCCCUGUUGAUGAAGUUAGGUGGCUAUAGAGUGGCGUUUUGGUUGAGGUUUGUUUAUGGCUCCUCAGACCGCUGUGUAUUGCUAUCAUGCGGUCGUUACUAAAGUUUGUAUAACUAGAGAAGUAAGCGGUCGGCAACAUUGAUCUCACGACAGGGUGUCUAACUCAGUGUUAUAGUGUGUUCGACCCUAAAUUAAUUUUACGCCAGAAUGUCCCUUUAAUUGACCGGUGCACAAAACAUGUUUUGAUAGUAAUGAAUUAAUAUUGAUAGUAAACUUUGCAGUUUGAAUAUUCAACAGUUUUGAGUUGGAUCGCCUUAUUUCCUUUGAACUGCUGAGAUUCAAGCAGAAGUCCAACUCUGUGCACGCGCUGACAGACUCUGCUGUGUCUGCAGCUGGGCCCUGCUCCUGUAUUUGGUUGUGUUUAUGAAAUGCCGCAGUUUGAGAUCAUAAGCAGGAGAUCAUUAUCCCGCUCAAGGUCACCGAGCAUUUGGCCACAGCUGGACUCGAACCUCUGAACUUUUCAUGGCGGUGCGGUUGCUCCUGCUGCUCCGCCAGCCUGCUACACCUGUGGACUGUAAAGUGUGUUUCUGCGAGUCCAUCCUGCUGAGCCCUGCUGCCUCGGAUCUGUUUGUGGUCUGAGCAGGGCAAAUUAACAGCCUUUCUGAUGCUGUACAGCUCUGCUCCCUCAGUUAAUCUACCGACCAAAUCAUAUCUUACAGCUUCAAGAGAUCAGCAAGGCCGCAUUGAGAACACCACAGCAUGUUUUUAAUGCAUCUGAAAGAAACCGAUCCCUGAGUGACAAAGAGAAACUAUAAAAGGCUCCGAAAAGGGGGAUUUUGUUUAUUCGGUUUGAUAUUUGCUGUGACGGAAAUCAAGCAAGACUUGUGAAAUUAAAUUCCCUUUUUUUGUUAUUUUUACCAAUGCUGAACACGCCUGCCAAUGCCUAUUUACCCAGUAUCAUGGAGCUGAAAACACAAGUGUGUCAUCUCCAUGGAAACUGCUCCACAAACAAAUUGGAAAGCCUGCAGUUGUCACGGUCACUGAAUACAUGAAUCAUCCUGUAAAAGAAAAUCACAGCAGGGUCAAAUUUAAGAGGCUGUUUUCAGGUUUAGACCACAACUGAGUGUGUAAAAAUUUACAACCCGAUGUUUUUGUUUGAAGAAAAUAUGAUUACUCUUACAGGAGGUGUAUUAAACAAGUCCUUAAAUGAACUUUUACUGUCGAGUUUAACCUGAUUCUUACAUUUUGUCUCAAUUUUGUUGAAGGAAAAGACAUUGAAGAGGAGAGGGACCGUCCAGUUUGUUAUCAGCACACAGUUCAACGCCGGUACCCCUGAUCAUAUGGGAACUUGGGAAUUUGGUGCUCUUAUAUUAGUAUCUUUUCCUGUUGUUUUAUUUUAUUUUAUUUAUUACUUGUCAAUGUCGAUGGUAAUGUCAGCUUUAUUUAUAUAGCACGUUUAAAAACAGCCAGUGGCCUACCAAAGUGCUUUACAGUAAAAUAGCUAGAGACAAUAAAAAAAUAAGAGCAUAAAAACAUAAAACAACAAUAUAGAUAAACAUAGCAAAUAAAUGAAAUACCCGAUAAAAGUAGCUUUACUUCCCCAAAAGCUAAAGUGAACAGGUGCGUCUACAGAAGUGUUUUAAAAGUGGAAAGGCUGUUAGAUAUUUCUGAAAUUUUAUUUUAGGUUACUCAGUUUUUAGAUUUUUACCUAAACCUCCAGUGUUUCCUUAUCUUGAAUUUUAAAAUGGCGCUUCUUCAGUGCGCUCAUUCCAGUUUUUAUGAAAUUGACCCCUUUUCAAGUUCAUGCAUUUUAAUACAUGUUUCUAU
rnacentral:lncRNA from 1 species